rnacentral:rRNA from 1 species
UACGUAGGUCCCGAGCGUUGUCCGGAUUUACUGGGUGUAAAGGGAGCGUAGACGGUAUGGCAAGUCUGAUGUGAAAACCCGGGGCUCAACCCCGGGACUGCAUUGGAAACUGUCGGACUAGAGUGUCGGAGAGGCAAGUGGAAUUCCUAGUGUAGCGGUGAAAUGCGUAGAUAUUAGGAGGAACACCAGUGGCGAAGGCGGCUUGCUGGACGAUGACUGACGUUGAGGCUCGAAAGCGUGGGGAGCAAACAGG